CACAUGCAAGUCGAGGGGCAGCGGGAUUGAAGCUUGCUUCAAUUGCCGGCGACCGGCGCACGGGUGAGUAACGCGUAUCCAACCUUCCGUACACUCAGGGAUAGCCUUUCGAAAGAAAGAUUAAUACCUGAUGGUAUGAUGAGAUUGCAUGAUAGCAUCAUUAAAGAUUUAUCGGUGUACGAUGGGGAUGCGUUCCAUUAGGUAGUAGGCGGGGUAACGGCCCACCUAGCCAACGAUGGAUAGGGGUUCUGAGAGGAAGGUCCCCCACAUUGGAACUGAGACACGGUCCAAACUCCUACGGGAGGCAGCAGUGAGGAAUAUUGGUCAAUGGACGAGAGUCUGAACCAGCCAAGUAGCGUGAAGGAUGAAGGUCUUACGGAUUGUAAACUUCUUUUAUAAGGGAAUAAAACCUCCCACGUGUGGGAGCUUGUAUGUACCUUAUGAAUAAGCAUCGGCUAACUCCGUGCCAGCAGCCGCGGUAAUACGGAGGAUGCGAGCGUUAUCCGGAUUUAUUGGGUUUAAAGGGAGCGCAGACGGGUCGUUAAGUCAGCUGUGAAAGUUUGGGGCUCAACCUUAAAAUUGCAGUUGAUACUGGCGUCCUUGAGUGCGG
rnacentral:rRNA from 1 species